rfam:Theileria orientalis strain Shintoku apicoplast DNA, partial genome.
GCUUUAAUAGUCUAAAGGUCAAGACGUUUUUUUUUCAAAAAAAAAAUAGGAAUUCGAGUUUCCUUUAAAGAA